GCCCCGCUAGCUCAGUGGAUAGAGCAGCUGCCUUCUAAGCAGUUGGUCGGGAGUUCGAAUCUCUCGCGGGGCACCA
rnacentral:tRNA from 1 species